rnacentral:rRNA from 1 species
AACGAACGCUGGCGGCAUGCCUAACACAUGCAAGUCGAACGAGACCUUCGGGUCUUGUGGCGCACGGGUGCGUAACGCGUGGGAACCUGCCCUUAGGUUCGGAAUAACUCCCCGAAAGGGGUGCCAAUACCGGAUAAUGUCUUCGGACCAAGGAUUUAUCGCGUUUGGAUGGGCCCGCGUUGGAUUAGCUAGUUGGUAGGGUAAAAGCCUACCAAGGCGACGAUCCAUAGCUGGUCUGAGAGGAUGAGCAGCCACACUGGGAGUGAGACACGGCCCAGACUCCUACGGGAGGCAGCAGUGUGGAAUAGUGGACAGUGGGCGAAAGCCUGAACGAGCAAUGCCGGGUGAGUGAUGAAGGCCUUAGAGUUGUAGAGCUCUUUUACCCGAGAUGAUAAUGACAGUACCGGGAGAAUAAGCCCCGGCUAACUCCGUG